UACGAACCGUGCGAACGUUGUUCGGAAUCACUGGGCUUAAAGGGCGCGUAGGCGGACCACCAAGUCCGGGGUGAAAUCCUCCGGCUUAACCGGAGAAUUGCCUGGGAUACUGGUGGUCUUGAGGGGAGGUAGGGGCACGCGGAAACUUUCCGGUGGGAGCGGUGAAAUGCGUUUGAUAUCGGGAAAGGAAACGCCGGUGGCGAAAGCGGGCGUGCUGGGCCCUUUCUUUCGUGACCGCUGAGGGCGCGAAAGCCCAGGGAAA
rnacentral:rRNA from 1 species